rnacentral:rRNA from 1 species
CCAAUAGCGUAUAUUAAAGUUGUUGCAGUUAAAAAGCUCGUAGUUGAAUUUCGGGAUCAAGGGAUCGGUCAUGCCUUGGUAUGUACUGGUCUUAUUGGUUCUCACCUUCUAAAGAACCAUGAUGUCAUUCAUUUGAUGUUAUGGGGAAUUAGGACUGUUACCUUGAAAAAAUUAGAGUGUUUAAAGCAAGCUUACGCUUGAAUACAUUAGCAUGGAAUAAUGAAAUAGGACAUCAGAUUCUAUUUUGUUGGUUUCUAGGAUCGAUGUAAUUAUUAAUAGGGAUAGUUGGGGGCAUUAGUAUUCAAUUGUCAGAGGUGAAAUUCUUGGAUUUAUUGAAGACUAACUACUGCGAAAGCAUUUGCCAAGGAUGUUUUCAUUAAUCAAGAACGAAAGUUAGGGGAUCGAAGACGAUCAGAUACCGUCGUAGUCUUAACCAUAAACUAUGCCGACUAGGGAUCGGAUGAUGUUAAUUUUUUAAUGACUCAUUCGGCACCUUACG